GCUCUCGGGUGACGAGCGGCGGACGGGUGAGAAUAGUCUGGGAAACUGCCUGAUGGAGGGGGAUAACUACUGGAAACGGUAGCUAAUACCGCAUAACGUCGCAAGACCAAAGUGGGGGACCUUCGGGCCUCAUGCCAUCAGAUGUGCCCAGAUGGGAUUAGCUAGUAGGUGGGGUAACGGCUCACCUAGGCGACGAUCCCUAGCUGGUCUGAGAGGAUGACCAGCCACACUGGAACUGAGACACGGUCCAGACUCCUACGGGAGGCAGCAGUGGGGAAUAUUGCACAAUGGGCGCAAGCCUGAUGCAGCCAUGCCGCGUGUGUGAAGAAGGCCUUCGGGUUGUAAAGUACUUUCAGCGGGGAGGAAGGCGAUAAGGUUAAUAACCUUGUCGAUUGACGUUACCCGCAGAAGAAGCACCGGCUAACUCCGUGCCAGCAGCCGCGGUAAUACGGAGGGUGCAAGCGUUAAUCGGAAUUACUGGGCGUAAAGCGCACGCAGGCGGUCUGUCAAGUCGGAUGUGAAAUCCCCGGGCUCAACCUGGGAACUGCAUUCGAAACUGGCAGGCUAGAGUCUUGUAGAGGGGGGUAGAAUUCCAGGUGUAGCGGUGAAAUGCGUAGAGAUCUGGAGGAAUACCGGUGGCGAAGGCGGCCCCCUGGACAAAGACUGACGCUCAGGUGCGAAAGCGUGGGGAGCAAACAGG
rnacentral:rRNA from 1 species